AUUGAACGCUGGCGGCAGGCCUAACACAUGCAAGUCGAACGAGUGGAGGCCGGGUGAGUAAUGUCUGGUAAACUGCCUGAUGGAGGGGGAUAACUACAGGAAACGGUAGCUAAUAACGCAUACCAUCGGAUGUGCCCAGAUGGGAUUAGCUCGUAGGUGGGGUAAAGGAUCACCUAGCCGCAGAUCCCUAGCUGGGCGGAGAGGAUGACCAGCCACACUGAAACUGAGACACGGUCCAGACUCAUAAGUGAGGCAGCAGUGGGGAAGAUUGCAAAAUGGGCGAAAGCCUGAUGAAGCCAGGCAGCGUGUGUGAAGAAGGCCUUCGGGUUGUAAAGUAAUUUCAGCGGGGAGGCGUUACCCGCAGAAGAAGCACCGGCUAACUCCGUGCCAGCAGCCGCGGUAAUUC
rnacentral:rRNA from 1 species